rnacentral:lncRNA from 1 species
GGCAAGGGAGGGGGGCUUGAUCUCUGGAGUAGGAGACAGGAGGAGCGGGCAAGAGAGGAGACUGUGUAUCACUGUGAGAGGAAGCAUCUCAGCCUGAGGCAGUGGACUGUGCUGUGGAAAAACGAGAGGGACCAGAGCUUUGGAGAAUCGCUUUCCUAUUACCUCCCUUAAGGUCAGCUGCUUCUCUAAAUCUGCCCCCAGGCAUUCUGUGGUGUGGUCACCAUCAUGCUGCCAUCACCCCACCAUAUUUGGGCUCUAGUUCUUCUGGGAACAUGCUGCUACCCGUGUCACUUCCAGGGAUCCCCAAAUUUGUCAUCUUAUGUCAAGACAGAGGACAGGUUAUUUCGGCACCUCUUCAACAGCUAUCAGAAGUGGGUUAGACCAGUGAAGUACCUCAAUGGCACAGUGCGAGUCAUAUUUGGACUAGCAAUCUCCCAGCUGGUGGAUGUGGAUGAGAAGAACCAGCUGAUGACAACAAAUGUAUGGAUGAAACAGGAAUGGGUUGACGUGAAACUACGGUGGGACCCCAAUGAGUACCAAGGAAUUAAUACCAUCCGUGUCCCCUCUGACACCAUCUGGACCCCUGACAUUGUUCUGUAUGACAAGUAUGGGCUGCUGAGCAUCACAAAUGCAACUUCAUUUAUUUACUGCUGUAGCAAAAUAACAAUUACAGUUCCAGAUCCUGAGCUGUAACCAUAGAAGAGAAAAAUAAUCCAAUGAAAUAUGUGUCUUUAAAGAACUGAAGCAUGCAUAACAUGUUGCAGAUCCAGAGCUCAACUUCUGAGAGGAUCUUUUUCGUCUCACAGUGCAGAUGGUUGUUUUGAAGGCACUUUUACAAAGGCAGUAGUGAAACAUGAUGGAACUGUCUCCUGGACUCGGCCUGCCAACUACAAAUCCACCUGUACUAUAGAUGUCACCUUUUUCCCCU